rnacentral:ribozyme from 1 species
CUCUGGGCUUCUGUCGUGAGUGGGAACAGCAUCUGCGUAGUCGCCGCCGAGGCCGAUGGCAGCCAUGUGCAGGGUUUGAAGAUCAGCCUCUCCACUCAGCAGAUCGAGUCGAGCAGCGACCUUCCCCAGGCCAUCGGCACCGGACUCCGACGCGGUGCUUUCA